rnacentral:rRNA from 1 species
AUGCAUAGAGUCGAGUGCGUCAAGAUUGACACGCUUGUUUCCGGAGAGAUGAACUGCGCGGAUUUUAAGUCCAAGUUGUUGAUAAACGCCGGGAGGCCUGCGAUUGUCAAUGUGAAUAUAGGAACGACCGUCAAGGGAGCCAUUGACGAUCUUGACAACAUCAUAAGAACACUAGAGAAAUGUGGGUUCCGAGAUCGAUUCUACAUUCAUUGCGAUGGUGCUGUGGCUGGCCUUAUGAUGCCAUUUAUCAAACAAGCACCAAAGGUGACAUUCGACAAACCUAUUGGAAGCGUGAGCAUCUCAGGCCACAAGUUCAUGGGAUGUCCAGUACCAAGUGGCGUGGUAAUAACAAGGCUCGAGCAUGUAAAAGUGCUCUCCAGUGACAUUGAAUACAUAUCAUCUAGAGAUGCGACGAUCAUGGGGAGCCGUAAUGGGCACUCGCCCUUGUUCUUGUGGUACACCCUGAACAAAAAGGGUUACAAAGGCAUCCAGAAAGAAGUUGAGAAGUGCAUGAGAAACGCCCAUCACCUCACAAGCCGUCUCAGGGAGAAGGGGGUGAGUGCAUUCCUAAAUGAGCUGAGCAGCACGGUGGUGUUUGAGAGGCCGCGGGAUGAGUCAUUCGUGCACAAGUGGCAGCUUGCAUGUGAGGGGAGCAUUGCACACGUCGUGGUAAUGCCAAAUCUAGGUGUGGAGAAACUCGACGGCUUCGUCGAAGAGCUCGCUGUCGGAAGAAGGAUGUGGCAUGAAGAUGAAGGGUUUAGCGUGCCGUGUGUUGCAAAGGACAUUGGGGAAGAAAAUUGCCUGUGUGAUGUGCAUGACAAGAAUUCAAGAGCCGCAUAA